UGUAAGCGUAUACCAAAGUUGUUGCAGUUAAAACGCUCGUAGUCGGACUUUGGCAGUUCCGGAUGUGUGCACGUCGUGUGCGCACUUCGCGGGGAUUGCUUUUGUGGUCUUGCGUAGGAUGAGGCACUUUUAUUAGUGAACGUCCUCACGCAACCACUUUUUACUGUGAGAAAAUCAGAGUGCUCAAAGCAGGCAUUUGCCGUGAAUGUAUUAGCAUGGAAUAAUAGAAUAGGACUUGGUUCUAUUUUGUUGGUUUGUUGGGACUGAGUAAUGAUUAAGAGGGACAGUUGGGGGCAUUUGUAUUUCGGUGCUAGAGGUGAAAUUCUUAGAUUACCGAAAGACAAACUGCUGCGAAAGCGUCCGCCAAGGAUGUUUUCAUUGA
rnacentral:rRNA from 1 species